UAUUCAUCACUAUGUUUUAUAUUAGGAUUAUUUUUUUUAUCAAAUUGGAUUAUUAUUCAUUAAUAUUAGGUUUUUUUUAUUAUCAAAUUGGAUUAUUCAUUAAAUUGGAUUAUUAUUAAAUUGGAUUAUUAUUAAAUUGGAUUAUUAUCAAAUUGGAUUAUUAUUCAUCACUAUGUUUUAUAUUAGGAUUAUUUUUUUAUCAAAUUGGAUUAUUAUCAUUAAUAUUAGGUUUUUUUUAUUACCAAAUUGGAUUAUUAUUAAAUUGGAUUAUUAUCAAAUUGGAUUAUUAUUCAUCACUAUGUUUUAUAUUAGGAUUAUUUUUUUAUCAAAUUGGAUUAUUAUCAUUAAUAUUAGGUUUUUUUAAUUAUCAAAUUGGAUUAUUAUUAAAUUGGAUUAUUAUUAAAUUGGAUUAUUAUCAAAUUGGAUUAUUAUCAAAUUGGAUUAUUAUUCAUCACUAUGUUUUACAUUAGGAUUAUUUUUUUAUCAAAUUGGAUUAUUAUUCAUUAAUAUUAGGUUUUAUUAUUCCAUAUUAUUUUUUUAAUUACUUAAAUUUUUACAAUCAUUUUCUUUACUUCGUAUUUAAUUCUUCUGUAGAAUAACUUUAUUAGUUAGGUUCUCUUAUAUAAUCGUCAUCACUACUAUAUUUUUUGGCCAAAAAAUAUUUGUCUAAUUUUCAUGAAAAAUAAAUGUAGGUACGUUUAUGAUGUCCAAUGGAGCUACUAAACGUGAUUCAGCUUGGGAACAUGGAUACCCAAUAGACGGAAACAAACAUGGCACAAUCUGCAAAUAUUGUGGUCGGGUAAUG
rnacentral:lncRNA from 1 species